AGACAAACAAUGCUGGAAAAACGAGGGGGAUAAACACGCUGCCGAGUUGAUGCUGGACAAACAUGUCGCCUUCCCUCCAAUUCACAAACGGCCCUGCCACGUUCACAGCUCACAGGUGUGGAAAUUCAAGGACAAACUUGAUUGCGCCCGUGGCCGCUGUUGUUGUUUCUGGGUUUGUUUGCUUGUCGUGCUCGUUCCUCGACUAUUGUUUGACAGAUUUGCUCCUUCAGGGAUGUGGUCCUUUAAAUGACAGGAGAGGGAUGGAUGCUCUUAACAGACAGAAAUACGUCUGUAUCUAAUGUGGAGUAAGGAGGGGAAAAUCAGGUCUGCAGGCCGAGCUGCUGAAGCUGCAGCUCAAUCGAGUGUUUCGGCCUCAAAGAGAAACAAGAAGUGUUGAAGGCAAAUUUGUUGGUUUUAAUGAUCAAAUUCAAAGAGCAAGGAGUUUCUUUAACCAUCUUGAUCGAGUCUGUUCCCUCACAUUUUGCAGCUUUGAAUGCUAGAUAGUUCCUGCACAGUACAGCAUGGCAAACAGAGAGAAAAAUCAAGGAAGGAAGAGCAAAAAGUCAAAAAAAUGCAACAGUACUAUUGAAAAAAGGAGCCAAAAAGAGAGAGACAGUCAGCCUCCAGGAUAACACGCCUGAAUCUUUGGUCUAACUCUCUGCAAACGUGGUGCAUUGUGGGUGAUAAAUCUAAAGUUGCAGAAAACUAAGAGAGAGAAUUCACUGUCAGUCGUGGUUUUAUGCACAAUGUUCAGAAAACAAGGUGUACAGGCCAUGUCACAAAGUGGGAGGAGCCUAAAGUCACAAUAAACAGAAAGGGGACAAUAGAUAUGAGAUAUGUGAAGGCUGUGACACAAAGGUGCAGACGCUGAUCUGAAUCUGAAGGUACCUGGUCUGAGCGUACAUGUAAACACUGAUCAGGAGCUGUUACUGUGCAGAAACUGGGAUUUAUUAGCUGGUAUAGUAAUGAGUCUGAGUGUGGUGUAGUUUGUGUUUUACUUGUUCUUUGUCGUCUGCCUGGGCCCCCCGCUAAAAGCUUUAAGAAGCUUAUCUAGGAGGUCCUUUUAAUGCAUACAUGUUUUACUGAUGGUUGUUUGUGUGAAAGAUGUAUUUUUCUCUUAAUGCAUGGGAAAAAAAACAUAAAAUGAAAUACACAAAAUAAUGCCACAAAUCAAUGCCAACUUCUGAUUAGGAAGGACUGAUGCCAAGAAGCUUUUGAUGUAAAUUAUCAGAUUUUAGACGAUAAACUGAUUCCCAAUGGUCUUUUUUUUCAGAGUUAGCCGUCGAACUUCAACAACAUGUGAUUUGAAAAAAAAUUCAAGUCACUGUUUUUGCUGUUUAUUACUGAAAGAGAAUCACUAGGAACAAACAGUAGUCUGAUUUGGCAUAGAAAUGCUCCCUUGCUCACCCCUGAAGUUGCUGAAGUGAUGGCUGCCUUUUGGGACAAGGAGGUCCUGAGAUGAUUCUCUAUUUCCAAGUUUUUACCACCAGAACUUUCAGCAAGUUAAAAUUUUUACUCUACUUUUUUUUCUUUUAGCUCUCAAACUGUUAAUCUUUCUGAGCCACUCUCUAAAUACAAAAAUGCAUUUGUCACAAGUUUGUCCACUCUGAGCUGCUGUAGAAACACUCCUUUUCAGAUUAUUACAGACUGAUUUUUUCAUACUUGAGAUGUGAUAUUCCAUUUCUACAAAGACAUACACUGCGUUUUUAAAGAUGUGAGACAAAUCAAUACCAAUAUUUGACCUGCUCAAAACAGUCAGGAUUAUUGUAAAAUAUCAUAUUUUAAGCUUUAAAACGGGGCAGCAUACCAACUAGAACUACAUCUGAGUUGUAUUUAAUAACUAACUUUGGGCCUCUAGAAUAAAGAUGCACAUUAAAGGUCCUGUGUGGAUAUUUCUGUGUGGAAAAAAAAUAGUAUUGAUGCUUUUCUAUGGCGUCUAAAAGCAAUUUAAAAGAUUUGCAGUUUCUAUUUUGUAAUUUUUAGUCCCUGAAAUUAGUGCGAGGGGGUUAAUAACGGCUGAGAAGAUGAAAAGGCUCUGAAUUUACAAUUUUCUGCAUUAAAUGUUCACAAUAAAUGAAACUGUUCACCAUCAGAAGCCAGCAGAUAGAUGACAAGAUAAACAAAGACUGCUUUGACCACAGGGGGCGCCAAACUUGACAUCAACUGAACGUCGCUUACAGCGGCUUUAAAUCAGUUUAUGUCAAAGUUGAAUAAUAGAAAGUACAGAUAAUUUUUAAACAAAGGCAUCCUUGUAAAAACCCAUCCAGACUCAGUCUUAACAAUUUAACCUGUUGUGAAACAGACUUGAAUCAAUUUUGAUGCCUCUCUAAGAAAAAUUUAAAUUGCGUAACUCUUAGUGCCUGAAACAAUUUCAGCAUACUGAAAAUAACCUAUUCUGUAUAUUAAGCUGUUAAUAUUGACAAAAAGACACAUACAGGAUGGAUCAGUAUCUCAAUAAGAUGUACAUAUUUGCGUUAAGGGAGAAAAACUGAAAGUUUCUCACUGUGCCUUUAAAAAAUAAAUCAACACGCACCUUCUUUACUUUUCAGGCCUAAAAUAGCUUGUAGAUUCAGUUUGUAAAAACAGCUCAAAAAAGUAAUUUAAGUGCUCGAAUUGCUAUGCAAAUCAGAUUCAAAUGAUGCACCAGCAAGCAGCUGCAAGAUCCUGUAAACUACUGGUUAAAUUACAUGUAGUUCACUGCUGCCCAGCUCUGCUCCUGCCACUCCAUACAGCUCUCACAGCCUCACAGAGAGAGAGAGAGAGAGAGAGAGAGAGACGCUCUCAGACGGUCUCAUAGAUUUUCAAAGAAGAGAAAAGAGACGGUCAGUCUGUUCCUUACAAUAUGGACAUUGUCAGCGUCUCAUAAAAGACAAAUAAGUAGGUGUCAGUGGAGAAAUUACUUCCCAUGAUGAACUGCGUCGCCAUCAUCAGCAGUGACACAGCGUCAUUCACUUCAACAACACAGGUGCAUGAAAAAUGGAACGGGCUGGCAGCAAAAUGAAUUAUUAAUGACACAUUUAAGUAUUAUAACAGAAAAUCAAUGAGCAUACCUGGUGUAAUUAACAUGCACAAUGUUUUCCAUAAUCCAGCACAGUAUAAUUAUGCCUCUCUAUUCCACAACACGUUAGCAUUAGCUAUUUCUAAAGCACACAACACCUGUUUAUUUGGUUUGCUUGUUCUCUGCCGCCUUUUUUUCCCUGUAAUGAUAAAGAGGCUGAAAAAAUGUUAUUGAGCUGGACGGGGGACGUACAGUCAUUCAGAGCUGGACUUAAAGGGAAUAAAAAUAAGCUUUUUGUGUUUCUUAAGCACUCAGAGAAGGAAAAUAUUAAAGCAUUUUAACUCACAGCCGUGUUUGUGGUGCUUGAAUAGAUUUCUACAAACCCUCCGAGGUUAUUUUCCAGCUUCAUCACAGAGUAUCUGCCCCCAAACAUGUACAGUCGAUGUAUUUCAUGUGCUGUUAUUGAUUCAGACUGAAGGGUUGGGGUGUGGGCUUAUCUCUGUAUACUGUAACAUGUCCACUAAUCACUGAUUACCACCGUCUGUUUGUGCUGUGACCGGUGGCAGUGUACAAGAUUUCCCAUCGUUCCUGAAGGAUGCUGGGGAACAGCUUGAGCGGAAUCCAGCACGGGACUGGGAUUUUUUGGCAAGUCAAACUUUAUCAGCACAAACAUGCGCAAAAUGAAAACAAACACAACCCAGACUGCUAAUUACCAUCCGCUUGGACCUCUGUCCCCCUAUUUUUCUCCCACAGACGCAAAAUGGCCGACUGCACCCGCCGCACUCGCUGAGAAAUCUGCUGCUGUUCCCUCCGUCCAGGACAACCCUUGUCUCCUGGAUAAUACAGGUUGACACGCUGGUAGCCCCCGUGAUUUUUCAAACCUAUUAUUUCAUGUGCAAAGUUAUAAAUUACACGACUGACACCAGUCUGGUAUCUUCUGGGCCAUGUGGCCUGAAUCAACGCCAAAUCCUGUGCCACUAAUUUUACUAAUUGCCUGAGCCCGGCCAACACUUUUCAUUGGUGUGGAGCCUGCAGUGUCACAGGAAGCUAAUGAGCGCUAAAUAAUGUAUGUGAACCUCUCUAAUUGCUUCAUUUCUCAUUUUGCUUACCAAUUCUCAUAUCAUGGUUAGGGAUGCCAAUUUUUUUUCUUCUGCUGAUGAUUCUAACAGUGGUUAAUACUAAUAACUGCACCAGUCUGUCAAAGGGCACAGCCUGGGAAAAUGAAGCUUGUAUUAUGUGCUGUAAUAGAGAAAAACACAGCGGCUGAGGAUGUAUUUAUUCCUGCAUUAUUUCUCCAAUAAUCCUCCUUUUUCCUCAGACUCAAUCCCGACUCCAACCAGACCCUCUUUGGGUAAACAUCGCAUCAUUUUUGGAUGUGUUCGUUGAUGCAUACAGCAUCAUCAGGUAAGGCGGUGUAUGCCAGCAUGCGCCACCUGGGGCUGUGAAUGUGCGUUCAUGUAUUUUGUGUAUGUAUUUGCGUGCUCCUCUCUCUCACGCAGACAUGCAUGAGUGUGUCUGCGGGAGUGUGUUGUGUCUCUCUGGCUGGGUUCCCACUGCAGCACCCGUUGGCCACCUCUCCUCCCAGUCCUAUCAACAGGGAAGCUGUAAUUUAGCAGCAAAUUUGAUCAUCCAAAUAGCUGAAUAUUUAAUGGUAUUAAAGCGUGAGGUAAAAAAAUAAAAGCUGUAUUAUUUAUUUACUCCCCAUAGUGUAACC